AACGCACCUUGCGCUCCUUGGUAUUCCGAGGAGCAUGCCUGUUUGAGUGUCGUGAAAUCUUCAACCCACAGUCCCUUGCGGCUUGUGGGCUUGGACUUGGAGGCUUGCUGGUUCCUUGGAGGACCGGCUCCUCUCAAAUGCAUUAGCUUGAUUCCUUGCGGAUCGGCUCUCGGUGUGAUAAUUGUCUACGCCGUGGCCGUGAAGCGUUUUGGCGGGCUUCUAAUCGUCUCUUGCGUGAGACACUUCUCUGACAUCUGACCUCAAAUCAGGUAGGAUUACCCGCUGAACUUAA
rnacentral:misc_RNA from 1 species